rnacentral:tRNA from 1 species
GCGAUGGUAGCUGUCUUCCAAGCAGUUGAUCCGGAUUCGAUUCCCGGCCAUCGCA